CUGAUGUCUGGUGCUGUUGGCUGCUAAGUUUUUAUAAAACAGCAAAUUGCCCCUUCCUUAAUGCUGACUAUUUGCGAUGCCCCAAAAGAGUCUGGAGCUCCCCUUAAUGCAAGUCCCAGCCUUUUCCCUGCCUCUUCCCACCCAGUAUUCAGCCCUUUCCUGGGACCCAAACUGACUUAGCAGCUGUUCUGCUGGGGCUUGGCCUGGCUGAGCCCAGCCACAGCUUACACUGAUAAGAAGGCUGCUGUUUUAGUGUCCCCUCCUCCAUUUUUUUUUUUAGCUUUUCAGCCUCUCCUUUCCCUUCCACAAGCAGCCGGGGUGGGUCGUCAGGCUCCCAGAGAUGAGGGAGCUCGAGGUCUGUGUGGAGCGGUUAGGAAACGGCUGGGUUGAGCCGCCUUGUCCGUGAGAUCCAGCGUGGCGGGGCAGGAACCCCCCCACCCCUGCAAGCCGGCAGCUCGGGGCUUCGCCCUACACCAGAAAUGCUGCUUUUCUUUCUAAACUUGUCUGUGUUUCAAGACCAGGAAGAAGCCAAGCUCGCACCCCGGCCCUCCACUCCCAGGCUGGCCAGAAGUCCAAGCCACCAGCAGUCAUCCACGGGCUGAGGGAGGGGCUGUGGAUGCCAACUGUGCCAGCCUGAGGCACCCCAGGUAAAGUCCGUGGUUCACCUGGUCUCCACCGCACCUUACUAGGGGCGCUGGCACAUUAGGGCAACUCUUAUGUCCAAACAGUACCUUCUCCCUUGGGUGAUGGAGGGCAAGUGUGUUGAGACCGACACGCAACGGGAACAUCUGGACAGGUUGGCACGAGGGUGGGAAGGCUGUAGGCCCCUGCUAGGGGAAGGCAUCCUCUCCAGACACGGCGUGGUUUCUGGGGCAGCCUCAUUGAAAGGGUCUGUCGCUCCAAGGAGGGCUGGAAGGGGGCGUAGGGGAUGUCAAAGGCUGGCGCGAGGCAUCGUGGAAGGAAGGUUUUGGUGGGUAGGUGGUGGCUGAGAGCUGGGAUGCUCGGAGGGUAGAGAAGAGAAUGGGACAGGGGCCUGGACAGGAUGGUGCAGUGGUAGAGACCGCCCAGCCCAGCCUCUGCCGGCUCCGCCUGCGCCGCCUUUUUCCCAGAGAAGGUCUGUGGACACAGGACUGACCUUUCACAGGAGAAACUUCACUGCCCCUCCCCUCCCCAGCCUGCUGCCUCUGCCCCUCCUGCCCCUGGACAGACAUUUCUUCACAGGUGUUACCUAGUCUGCUUGUUGUGGUUUGAUUAUUGUAAUAACUGUUAGAAACCCGUGGAGUUGUUCUAUUUUUUUAAAUGAAAAAUAAAGGUGUCCCAUACAAGGA